rnacentral:lncRNA from 1 species
AAGAACACUAAGUGACGGGGCAAAACAAGCCCUUCCACAAGCUGCCCAUCUCUGCGGAGGGGUCUUUUUUUUUGUCAACAGAUGUCGCCACACUCCAUUCUGGUAGAAUACUAUGUGGCGGGGCGAAACAAGCCCUUCCACAAACUGCCCAUCUCUGCGGAGGGGUCUUUUUUUUUGUCAACAGAUGUCGCCACACUCCAUUCUGGUAGAAUACUAUGUGACGGGGCGAAACAAGCCCUUCCACAGGCUGCCCACCCCUGCGGAGGGGUCUUUUUUUGGUCAACAGAUGUCGCAACACUCCAUUCUGGUAGAAUACU